CACAUCGACAAAAUCAUUCUUUGCCUACUUGACUAAUAUAAUAAUAGUCAUGGAAAUAAUAUAGAAAUAUUGUGUUUUCAGCAAGAACACCAUACAGUAGAACUUGCGUGCUCGACACACUAUGUCGAUAU